UUUACAUCUCUUCGGAGCAUUUUACGAGGUGCGUGCAUGGUUGUCGUCAGCUCGUGCCGUGAGGGUGUCGGGUUAAGUCCCAUAACGAGCGCAACCCCUUACCUUUAGUUGCCAUCAGGUAAUGCUGGGGACUCUAAAGGAACUGCCUACGCAAGUAGUGAGGAAGCGGGGAUGACGUCAAAUCAGCACGGCCCUUACGUCCAGGGCUACACACGUGCUACAAUGGCCGAUACAGAGGGCAGCUACCUGGUGACAGGAUGCAAAUCUCCAAAGUCGGUCUCAGUUCGGAUCGGAGUCUGCAACCCGACUCCGUGAAGUUGGAUUCGCUAGUAAUCGCGCAUCAGCCAUGGCGCGGUGAAUACGUUCCCGGGCCUU
rnacentral:rRNA from 1 species